rnacentral:rRNA from 1 species
GACGAACGCUGGCGGCGUGCCUAACACAUGCAAGUUGAGCGACGAACCAGGGCUUGCCCUGGGGCAAAGCAGCGAACGGGUGAGUAACACGUGGGUAACCUGCCCCGAUAACCGGGACAACCCGAGGAAACUCGGGCUAAUACCGGAUGUGCUCGCCGGACACCAGUCCGGCGCGUAAAGGAAGCUUCGGCCUCCGUAUCGGGAGGGGCCCGCGGCCCAUUAGCUAGUUGGUGAGGUAACGGCUCACCAAGGCCGCGAUGGGUAGCUGGUCUGAGAGGACGAUCAGCCACACUGGGACUGAGACACGGCCCAGACUCCUACGGGAGGCAGCAGUGGGGAAUCUUGCGCAAUGCGCGAAAGCGUGACGCAGCAACGCCGCGUGGGGGAAGAAGGCCUUCGGGUUGUAAACCCCUUUCAGGAGGGACGAAGGUUCGGCGGUGAAUAGCCGCCCGGACUGACGGUACCUCCACAAGAAGCCCCGGCUAACUACGUGCCAGCCGCCGCUGUAAUAC